rnacentral:lncRNA from 1 species
UUCACUUCAUCAGAUAUUUAAGUAUUAAUACAUAAAUUAGAAAUCAAUUUUAGGAGUGUUAUUCCUCCAAUACAAACAUUUUUUUCUGGCUUUUCAUCUCCUUGUCAUAUUCCCAGCAAAUAACCACACAGACGGGGUGUGUGUCUCUCCUUAAAUGAGAUUAGUGAAGGUGGCCCGAUCAAUUAUUUUUAAGCCUGACCAAAUAGGCGUACUCUAAUCUUGCCUAUUUCAGCAUAAUGUUGCCCAGCAUGAUAAAAUACUUAUUUAAACAGGUGUAUCAGUCUCAGAGAUCUGUAUGUAUAGUUUACCUUGAAGUCAAUUGAAAACAGAAUAUUCCUUAUUGAUUUUGCCUGCCUGGCUGCUAUAUGUAGUCAAUGGGACUCACGUGGAUGUAAAUAGAGUGAAUCAACUCCUUGCUGGCCCUGGACCUCCUUGAGUCAUGUGAAGUAGGUUUCUGAUUCCUUUAUGUUCAGGCACAGCCAGGGAGACAAGAGUACUACUGUCUUCUGCUGGUGCAGAGAGUUACCUCAGGCUAUGCAGGAAAAAUCCUUUUUUCUUAUUUUUAGACCUGAAUCAGUCUAUGCCACUAAAUGUAUUCUUGUGAAUACAGAUGCACUUUGUUGUCAUGCUCGUGGGAAGGCAAUGGAGUAACCUGUUUGGACGCAGCUGCAGGCCACCUGUAGAGAAAGUCAAAUUAGGGAGAGACCCCACUGUUCUUUGCAUUAAUGCUUUUUGUAUUGUUGUUUGACUUUUCCCCCUCUGUCGAUGUAUCUUUUUCAACUAGGGAGAUCGGGAGCACAUUUUAAGGCCUUCUGUCCCUUUAAGGCAUCUAAUGAUUGAAAGGACUCUAAGAUUUGAAAGGCUGUAAAAACUCCCCAGUUGGCAAUGAAUGAUGGCAAUACAAAGAAUCUUAAAGCUGUUGAAGUUGAAGUAGUCUUCUUACAGAUUUAGUUUGUUUGGUGAACUUCCAGCGGCAGCUCUUACAAGGUCAAGUCUAAAAAUUGGACCACUACAGGCUCUGACCACAUGUAUGAGAAGCCAAAGGACCUGUGAUCUCACCUGCCUCAAUCAUGUGCCAUUAUUUACUCCACUUGCCUCUUCUGAAUGGGUAUGAUCCCAACCAAACAUAGUGAAGGGGAAAGUUAAACAAUAUUUGGAAAGCCAUGUAUUUGGAAAGCCAAUGUAAAAGUGAAAAGAAGGCCACCCACGAGAGAGAGAGAGAGAGAGAGAGAGACAGAGAGAGAGAUCUUUCAUUUGUGAAUUGCAAAGCUUCAGAGGUCCGAAUUUGGCCAGUAUGUUUGCUGCAAAGCCUUGGAAUGCUGUUUUGCAGUUUCAAAAGUGAUCAUACUCAGCUUCCCAGAAUUUUUUAUGCCUGGAGGAUGCCACAAGAACAAGGGCAGCCUUGUUAACAAGUUCCAAUCUCUCAAAAACAAGAUAGGAUUCGGAUAUAAAUCAUCAUUUCAGCUCACAAAGCCAUGUUCUCCACCCCACUGAAGGGCUUCAUUUACAUCUAAAAUGGUUAAUACUGAUCUGCACCAGAACUCCUAAGUGGAGGAAUGCAGCUGCCAUGUGCUUAGUGACUCUGGGGUUAGGGAAGAAUGACAUCACCAAAUGUAAGCAUAUUAUCAUGCUGACAUAGAGGCACCUUGUUUUCUCCUCUGUGGAUAGAGCAAGGAUUGUGUUCUGUCUCUUGUUUUUUUCCGCUCGAAGAAUACCUUUCCCCCUCCCUUCUUAGCAGCUGCAAUAUGAAGGGCUGAAAAUGUCACUUCAACUAAUGAUGAAUGAUGCUUGACCUCUGGAUGGGUUACUCAGAAUUUUAUGCAAUUCUAAAUUAAUAUGAAAGAUCCCAACUCAAAGGACUUCGGCCGUUAAGAUUUGCUUCAAGGAUAGAUUUGUGUAAAGCAGUUAGUAGCUUUGGGGAUUUUGUUGCUGUUGUUAUUGUACUUGGUGGGGGACUGGGAGACUCGUGCUCUGUAAGCAAGGUAAAAGGCAGAAUGUGCUAACAUUUUUAUGUGUUAUUUUUUUCCUGUGAGAUUAAUAUCUUUUUCUACUAGAAAUAUUGUCAGUAAGCAGAACCAGUUUGUGAAAAAAACAUUCUCAAAAGGGCACAGGCCCACACGUCUUUGUUGUUUUUAUUUGAAUAUAAUUAAUUAUGUAAAGCAAUAGUUAGUGUAAGAUUAACAAUUAGUAGAUUCUGUCAAGUAGUCACACGGAAAUUACUAACUAAUUGAACUACUGGUCGUCUAUUGUGUCAGAAAGCAGUACUGAGUGUCAUUCUUUUUAUCUUUUUACUUUGUUGUUUUCACAGAUCCUCUUGUUUCUAAGAUGUAUGUUUCACAGCCGACUAAUAAAUAAAUAACCCUGGUUGUAAUUUCAUAACAUGCAAAAAGGUUUGAAAUAAAAACACCUGUUUUAAUUA